AGUGAACGCUGGCGGCGUGCCUAAUACAUGCAAGUCGAACGGAGAUUAAGUAGCUUGCUAUUUAAUCUUAGUGGCGCACGGGUGAGUAAUAUAUAGCUAACUUGCCCAUUACUAAGGGACAACAGUUGGAAACGACUGCUAAUACCUUAUACUCCGUAUCUAUAUAAGUAGAUACGGGAAAGUUUUUCGGUAAUGGAUAGGGCUAUAUCGUAUCAGCUAGUUGGUAAGGUAAUGGCUUACCAAGGCUAUGACGCGUAACUGGUCUGAGAGGAUGAUCAGUCACACUGGAACUGAGACACGGUCCAGACUCCUACGGGAGGCAGCAGUAGGGAAUAUUGCUCAAUGGGGGAAACCCUGAAGCAGCAACGCCGCGUGGAGGAUGACACUUUUCGGAGCGUAAACUCCUUUUCUUGGGAAAGAAUUAUGACG
rnacentral:rRNA from 1 species